CAAAGUGCUACGAUUACAGGCAUGAGCCACCACGCUUAGCCUGGAAACCUACUUUUAAAAAAAUGUCUGGUAAAUAUCAACUCAUUCAAGCCUUCCCUUUCCUCACUAUUAUAAAUGCUAAGAUGACAUGGUUAAUUGUACUUCAUCAGCCUGAUCUUUAUUAAGGAGCAUGACUCAAGAAUAGGGGUUUCAGAUGGUUCACAGAAAACAUAUAACAAACCGUCUUUAGAAAGAUUAAAAGGUGCAUAGCCUUGUUCACAGAGAAUGUAAUUAAAACAGAAAUUCUGGAUUUUACCCAUCAGACUAAGUUAAAAAAAAAAAAAAGCUAGCAAAGGCUAUGAUUUGCUUCCUGUGAGGUCACAAAGGCAUUGUCAUAAUUGCUGGGGGUGUCUGUGAGCUGGGGGGAGUAUAAACAGGUGGAAUAUAUUUGGAGAGAAAUUUCAUUAGACAAUAUCCAACUUAAAUAUGCACAUACCUUUUAACCUGGAUGCUACUUCGAGGGAAUUUAUUCUACAGAUAGAUUUGUUCAAGUGCACAAACACAAGCAAGAGAGUGGAAGCAAAUCAUCCUAGACCAAUGUAGGGUAUUUUCCUGGUACGUUUGGAAGACUUGGUCAGCCAGGGAAUUGAUUUACAACUCUUAAGUUUGGGAAAUACUGAUCCGAAGGGAUCAAUAUGGCUGUUCAGGGAGUUCUUUAAUGAGCUCAGAUUUUAAAGGACUAGUUAAAAGCUGUAAAGUCAAGGGCAACAAAAAGACUCUGUCAUUACUUGUGUUCAGAGCGGGACCCAGGAGGCUGGAGUCGCUGACCUGGAAGGAUGGUGCAAUAUUAACAGGCAAGAAGGACUGAGAGGAAUUACCACACUGUCCUUAUUCCUCCAUCUUUGUGGUUAAGGAGAACCAUCUUCAACAGAAAUGGUAGACCAAUAAACGAAAUAGGCAAAAGGGUUUUGAAGACCAAGGUAAUUAAUUACCUGGCAGGAUUUAGAGACUUCUGGCAUGAAUUACAUCAAUCAAAUGACAACUGUCAAUACACUGUUGGAUGUUCUGAGGGACCACAGAAACAUGAAUAGAUGAUAAACCAGUACAUACCCGAGUUCCAAAAUGUAAAAGUUAAUUCCAUUAGUUAUGGAAUAGUGAGUGUGGUUUUACUGUCAAGUAAUAUUCCAGAAGACAUUGUUCAUUUGUGAACUCUUUGGAAGGAAGCCAUAGAGUGGACCGUCUCAAAUAAGCAGUGGUUCAUUAAGAAUAAUGUCCAAUCUCUGCGGGACUACUGCUGAAUGAUGCCUGUGGGGACAGGAUUUUUAGACUGGGGGAGGGGUGGUAAGGUGUGGAGAGGGUUACUAGACCACUGGAGGGGGUGUGUUUGGGGAGAAGACAGUAAACAGCGUUAUUAGAUCACAGGUGAUGGAGAUGAACAAGGUUACCAGCCCUGGUGUGUGUGAGUGGGAGAUAUGGACAGUUAUGACUGGUAGUGGUGAUGGUGGAGGGAACAUGGUUACCAGGCCACACUGGUGGGGGCUGUAUGGACAGUUAGCUACCUACUGGUGUGGUGGUAAUGCAGAUGGACAGGGGUUACUAGAUGGCUGGAGGGAGUGGAUGGCUCUCUGGUUAGCAAUUAGAUUUCAGUGGAGUGAACUGUUCAACAUCAUCUAGCAGUCUCAUGGAGAUAUGGAUCCCCACGGUUGCAAAUGGUGGGAUGAAGGGUGAGAGGCAAGAGACCACUGUGGUUGAGACCAUAGGCUCUGGAAUACAGGCUGCUUGGUUAAACUCUAAGCCUGAGCUUCCCUAUCUAUGAAAAACAGGAUACUACCCAUCUCACAGAGUGGUCAGGAAAUGAAGUGACACAUGCAAAGCCUAGCAUUAGAUGACUAGCCCCUAUAUAUUAGCGCAGAUCAAUGUCUACCUACCGGGGUUUCCAAUGUCACGUGGCUGGACUUUCUUCUGCCCUGUACAGCAUGAUACCAAUGCCUCAAACGAGAACACAGCUGACACACUGAGUAAUAUUCAGAUGAUGAAACUGAAUCUAGAAGUCACAUGGUGGUCAGUGUCCUACUCACAGUAUGAUGCCCCCAUACUGGAUAAGGUUGUUCAGAUACCUUCAGACCAGCCCAGAGAUGAUGUAUUAUUGCCUGUUAUCUGGUUAGACAUCUCCUUUCAAAUGAAUGUGGAAUAAUCCAUUUGCUGAGCAGACAUUCACUGAGCACCUGCUAUCUGUCAGGUGCUGGGGAACAAAGGCAAGUAAGACACAAAGCUCAGAUUGAUGCAGUGUACAGGUUUCAGGAUGAGAUAAACAAAAGAGCCCAUUUUAAUACAAAGCUGUAAGUGCAACGUUGCUAUAGAUGGGGGUAGAAAGGGAGGGGGUUAUUACUGGAACACAGAAAUUAACCCAAUUUGCAGAGGUGGGGCCGUCAAGAGUCCCUGGGAGAAGAUGUCUGGGCAGAGGCAGACAUUGAGCAGGAGUUAGGGGAAGGGAUGGGAGUGACAGAAUUCUAGGCAGAAAGAACAGUAUUUGCAAAGGCACAGAUGUGAGUAACAGCAGGGUGUGGCACAUGCCAGGAACCACAAGCAAUUUGGCAUUGAAGGAUUUUCAACAGUAGGGUGAGAAAUGGUGGAUAUAUGCUAGAGCAAGAGGAUGGAGACACGGAGUGGGGAAUUCCACUGAGAGGCCCUUGGACUUCAUCCUCAGGGUAAUGGCAAGCACUGCAAUGGCACAGGCCGACUGUGUUUUAGAAAGAUCACUCUAGUGACUGGGAGGAGCAUGAGCUUGUCAGGAGCAACUGGAGUCAGGGAGAUCAGGAAGGGCACCUCUGAGCCAGAGAAAAGAUGCUCCUAUGGGAUCCAUGCCAGUAAGAAGAGAGAAGAAAGCCCAAGUAUGAAUACCAAGGCAGAGGUGAACAGACCUAGGUACUGUUUGGAUAUGGGUGGCGACAGGGAGAAGAGUUGUAGAUGAUGUAUACAUUCUUACUGUGGGUAAAAAAGGGAAUUCAGGCAGAAGAAAAGUUUUGUGGGAGGAGGGUAAAAGAUGAUCGAUUUGAUUUUUGAUAGGUGGAGUUUGACGUGUACACAGGAUACCCAAGUUGAAAUGUCAGUCCAAAAGUUCACAGGACAGUCUGGGUUACAGAGGAUGGUUUCAGAGUCAACAGCAUGAUAAAAUCAUGACAGAAUGAGAAGACUUGGGUAGACUGUGGUGAAAAGAGCAGUGAGCAGAAGAAAGACCUUUAGAAAACACCAACAGGUAAUAGGAUGGCAGAAAAGGAGGCUGUUAAGACUGAACUGGUCAACUGCUGUAGAGAAAGGUCCACUAAGUUAAGGAAUGAAAAGUGUACACUUCAUUUAACAAUCAGGAUAUCAUAAGUAUGCAUACUGGUGAGGCUUCUUGGUUGCAGACAACUGAAACCACUCAAGUUACUUUAAGCAGAGAGGUAUUUAUUAGAGGGUAUUAUAUGGCAUACACAAUUUCCAGGAGCCCACAGAUAAGGGUUUGGAUGCCUUCCUGCCAGGAAGAGCACAAGUAGCCAGGACAAACACGUACCUUUACAGGACUAUUACUGAGGAAAUCCCACUGCCACCACUUCUCUCUACUCAGCACCUGUGACAGGCAGGACAACCUUCACCAGAGUUGCCCCAGAUGAAGAAAGGCAUCAGCUGCUGUGCCUAUAAGAUCCACUCUUGCCAAGAGCAGCCUCAUUCUAGGAUGAUCUUGCUCCACCCACCUAACUGAAUGCUCACCUUCAGACUUCCAAAAGCCAACUGUUCUGUUACCAAGGUCAUUCACAAAUGAGACUUCUGCAUAGCAACAAGAAUCAAUUUA
rnacentral:lncRNA from 1 species